CAGAUUUCUUGUUGAUUUCCUCGAUAGACAACGCAUGCGAACAAAUUUAGUAGUAGUAGUUGUUGUUGUCAUGAUGUCUGUCUGGUGUGUUGUUUACUCUUCGCAGUUUUGUUGUGAGGAAGCGAAAAGAUUCUCCGUAAAUCGAUUAGAGAAUCAAGUUCAUCAUUCGCUUCAUGAUUUUCUACAACGCUACCCACAUGAAGACUCUACUCUACUCAAAAAUUAUCUUUAUCAAGGAAUCGUGAAAGUGUAUGAAGAUCUUUCGAUAUUGUGCAAUAAAUAUUUAAAUAGACAGUUCUCAUUUCGUUCGUUCUGUGUGGAGCUUAAAGAAUUGAAACGAGUCUUGGAUAGUGUAAAAGAAUAUAUUCCAACAAAAUGCUAUAUUACCUGGUCAUUUCGUACAAAAUGUGAAAAGCAUAUGUAGAAGAAAAAAUCUUAGCCGGUCUCCGAGUUAACGAAGAGACGAAUUUUUGAACAUUUUUUAUUAUCUUCGCCCGGAAAUGUGAGGUUUCAUAACGGACAUACAUUUGUAAGCGAAUCGCAAGACCCUUUUAUUUUAAAGGAAAAAAGUUUUAACCCUCCGAAAAUACAUUUAAUGGUGAAAUGGUCCUUCGCUUAUCACCAAUUGAGAUGUGAUGCUAUUUGGCAACAGUACGCUAAAGAUGGUGAACGAUUUCGAAGACGGAUACGACAAGUAGAAUCCAUCUAUUUAGAACCUAAAUUACAAGUUUCGCAACGAAAGAAAAUACAUGAAGAUCGAUUUACGACUCUACAAGAAGAAGAAGACUCCAAAAGUAUGGAAGUUGAUUAUGAAUACUAUUAAAAAUUAUAUUAAUUCUGCUUAUUAGUUUUUUUGUUUCUGUUAUAGUUUUCGUUUUCGCUUUCAUUUUAUAUUAUUUUUUAUUUUUUAAAAUGAAUUAUGUAAAAUGUGUUCAUUAGUUAAUUAGACAUUAGUUUUGUACUCUAUGGUUUAUUUUUGCUUUUAUAUUUUAUGUUAAUUAGAUUUAAGAUUUGUUUAUAAUGGAUAGUUUAAUUUUUUUCAAAUGUAUUGUAAGUUUAUAAAUAUAUCAUUGUUUAAAAUUUUUUGUUUUUGUUACUACUAUUUUUCGAUUAUCAUUUUGAAUGAAAAGUGAGGUUAGAUUUAGAGGGGCUUCAUCCAGGAGCGUGCACCUCAUCU